rnacentral:rRNA from 1 species
UUUAAGCUAGUAAACUGAACCAUCUAAGUAACUAGAAAACAAAUCAACCGAGAGACUGUGAGUAGUGGCGAACAAAAGCAGAAUAGAUUAUGCUUAAAAAUUAAAUACUGUAUAUUUAAUAGUAAAAACCAAAGAAGGUAAUAAGAGUCCUGUAAAGUAUACUUCAAAUUUUUAAGAUAUAAAGUAAAAUGAUACAUGUGAUGUAUUUUUUCAACAUUGGGGUACCACCCUCAAAAUCUACAAAGUAUUAAUGUUUGAUAGUAAAUAAGUACCGUGAGGGAAAGGUGAAAA